GGUAGUCUUCAUGCCAAGCGCUGAGCCCAAGGCAGGGCUUGAAUUCAGGACCCUGAGAUUAAGAGUUGGAAGCUUGACCCGCUGAGCCACCCAGGCACCAAAGGGUUUCAUUUUUGACUCACUGCUUGAUAUAAGUACAAGAGGUUCCAAGUACAAGAGCCUAGGCGAUGGCCACCCACUAAGGAUUCAGACACAUCUGAGGAGGCUAAUGGGAAGAUGUUUGGGACCCAAUGAACAAACACCUGAGACUGAAAGCUUGCCUUCAGCAUCCUUCAGCAGUGAAAAGCCAACAUCCAGGUGCUCAAUUAGAUUGGGUAAAAAAACUUACCCUAAGAGAGCAUGAUGGUACAAACUUAAUCAGAGACACCGACUAGGGCUUGUCCAGGAGGAAUGGUUCUCAGCAUAAGGCAAUGAUAGUUAAGUGAACUUGAACUUCUUAUUUGGCUGAAAGGAAAACCUAGCCUAAUUCCAAAUGCAGGAAAAGAGAGAUACAGGAGAAGUGUAAGAAAUCUUUAAAAAACAACAAAACAUUUUAGGAGUAUUACAGACACUUGGAUAAAAGGAAGCCUUGUUUAAUGGCCUGAAGACAAGAUGAGAGAAAAGGUGUUUGUUCUCUUCUUUACUCACUUUACUAUUGUGAUCCUGGAAAUGGGAAAACUGUGGAUGACAAUGUCAGUAGUAAGGGAACAACAUCUGCACCAGGAGUUUUGUCAGGAACUCUGACAUUCAUAGGAAUGGAUUGCUACCUGGAUUUUACUGAGGACUGUCUGAAGACUGAGGAUUUUUUAAGGGAGAUUCGCAGUCUGUGAUUUUUCACCAAGCUUAUGUGUCCUACACAAAAUACCUAGGAAAAGAGUUCCUGGUUUGUGUGAACUGAUCUGUCCCAGGCCUGAGUGAUGAUGAACUGACACCUGAGCCCACAGUACCUGAUUCUCAACUUUGUGCAUAUGGAGCCUGGUGGCCCAGUGUGUCCCCCAUAAGUCCCUGCCUGUGACCGUGACUCUCCCUCCACCACUGCCAACAGCAGAAGGAUCUUUUGGAGCCUGGACACACACGGUGGGGCCACCUGCACAUGCGCAGUGCAGCCUGCAAGCACCUGCCCAAGCAGGUGGGCACCUCAGCAGAGCAACCCAUCUUCUUGGAGCUAUCGGUGCCCAGCGCUGCACUCCUGAUGUGCAGCUGGCACAGGGAAGGUCAUUUGCAUCAGACCCCUUCUGGCCAUGACCAGGAAAGAUACACAGGACCUCAGUGGGCCUCCCAAGUAUCUAUCAUCAGCGGACUUCCCAUAGAUGGCACGGCUAAGGACUUCUGGUGAGAUCCUGCCUUAUGGGUAAGUAAAUCUGUUUGGAAGCGGGGUGGAGUUUGGCGUGGAGGUAUGUCCCCCAGACGUUUCUGCUGGUGGCUGGGUGUACUCCUGCACGUCCCAGACCCACAAUGGAUCCCAGGGUGCCUGGGUGCUCAUGUGGCCUGCAAAAUGCAGUUCACUCUACACACCUACUCUCAGGCAUCAGGCCCUCCAGGCCAUCCUCCUGGGGCUGUGAUUCCCCUCACUAAACCAUUGAUGAGAAGGUUUGAAUGAUGGUUACUGUCAGAUUCCAUAUGGUGUUGCUGUUCUCUUAGUAUAGGGGCCUGUAUGCAAUCCUUGUUUUUAAAUUCAGGGUGUUUCCCAUAUAUAAAAAUACUUCUUUGUGAGGUACAAUGUAUUGUAAGAUACUCUAUCAAUAUAAUAAUAGAUUUGGGGGGGAAGCAAAACACAUGACAUACACAUGGAUUUCUUCACAUGAAAAAAAUACCAUAAGAUCACAAUCAAAGUUUGAGUUUAAUCCUUUUAUAAAGAUUCUUAUGGGCUACUUUUUGCCAUUGACAAACUUAUACAACAACAUGAUCCAUUGAGAUCAGUUGGAUAGGAUAAUUGAGCAAUAUUGUCGAUGAAGAAUGACCUUCUGGGAUGACUGUUGUGUGACUGAAUGGAGGGUGAUGCCUUUUACCUGCUACAGGGCCCCAUGAAAAAAGACCAGAUCUGUGGAACAAGAGCAUGAGGUGACGUUUGGACAUGUGGAGACAUUCUGAAACAUUCCUUUGAGACAUUCAGAUGGGGCUGUUGAAUAAGCAAUUGGAUAAGAGUCAAGUUGAGUGGAGAGGUCUGGAUUGGAGAUGUAGUUCUGUGAGCUACCUCUGAAAGAAUGGACUUGAAGGUGAAGUAUGGAUGCAAUUACCUAAACAGAGAAUAUAGUGAGAGAGGAAAAGGAUACCUUGAGAAAUGGCAAUAUAUAUAUUAUUUAAGUUUAUUCAUUUAUUUUGAGAGAGAGAGAGAGGGAGGGGCAGAGAGUGAGAUGAAUAGACAGGCUCCACCCUCAGCAAGGAGCCCAAUGUGGGGCUUGAUCUCCUGAACCCUGGGAUCAUGACCUGAACCAAACUCAAGGGUUGGACGCUUAAUCAGGUGAGCCACCUAGGUGCCCCAAGAAGUGCCAGUAUUUAUUGGCACAUAAAAAGAGGUGAAGCUUCAAAUGAGGACAAGAGCAGAGAGGAAGACAAUCAAAGGAGUGUUGUACAAUGGAUGUUAGGACUAGAUUCAGGAUGAAGGGUGGGGACAACUAUGCUAAAUGUUGCAGGUAGGUCUAAUAGGAUAAAGAUCAGAAAAUGCACAAUGAAUUUAACAGGAAGAGCUAGUUCAGUGUAGUAAUGGGGGCUAAAGUAAGAUUGAAAUAUGUUACUGAGUGAAUGAGAGGUGAAGAAGUGAGGGUGGUGAGCCUAGAGGAAAAUUGAGACGUUUGAUGUUUCAGGGGUAAAGCCAAAAGGAAGAGAAGUUGCUAGAAAGAUAUGUGGACUUAAGAAAGAUUUGUUUGUUGUUGUUUACAUUUUGAGCAGGUUUGAAAGCCAAUGCAAAUGAUCUAGCUGAAAGUGAGUGAUUUUAUAUAAGCAAAAGAAGACCAAAUUGGUAAUAUUUUUUGGAAGUUUGGGAGGGGAGAGGAUGCAAAGUACUGACAAAGACUCUUUCCUUUGACCAGACUUCAGUCAGGCUCCUCUGAGUCCUCUCUUUGACGAGGCCCUGACCUUGGGCUCUGUCCUUAUCCAGAGGCCCUGCCCUUCAGACCAGUUUUAGCAAGAAUCCUACUGAGUCAGUUUAGCACGUCCCCUACCCUUGAUAUCUUUUCAGUUCUUUAUUCCCCACUCGCAAUAUCACUGUGGCCUGCCUUCAGAAAUCCUUUCAGUUUACCCAGAAUCUCCCUACCCCUGCUAUUUCCUCCUAGUAAUAUUCUGUCCACUGACCUCCAUUCUGCUCUUAGGCUAUAAACCUCCACCUGUUCUUAAUGUGUUUGGAGUUGAGCUCAAUCUCUCCCCUUCAGGCAAAGAGCCCAUUGUAGCUUUUCUCUCAAAUAAAGUCUAAAGUGUCACGAAUAAGUAUUUCUCUAACCUUACUAGGGUAUGAAUGAGCCUGAGAGCUGGAAGCAUGGUGAUCCAUGUCAUGCAGUGGUAACACAGCUGAUGAAACGAUUCCUUGCAAUAACUUGGCAGGCAUAUAGCUAAUAACAUUUAGUUCUAGCAAACGGCAUGGGAAAACAAUAUUAGAAGCUUAUGUAGGUUUCUACAGGCUGCAUUUGUGAGGUAUUAUUCAGAAGAGAUGAACUCAGAAAAGAAUUUCUAAGUUUGCAAUCAGGAAUGAAAAAGGGUAGAAAAACUCUUCAAAUUCAGGGAUUUCCUCUUGGAAGAGACAAUUGCUUUUCAACAACCCCAACUAGAAAAAGCUGGUACUAAGAAGGCUUCUGGGGAAUAAAAGCCAAUUAAAACUCAAUCUUGUGUAAAGGGUCAAGCUCUCUAGAUGUUAAAACAAUGGAAGGAAGGAAGAUGUUUCAGAGUAAGCAUCCACCUAAAUGUGUUCUGCCCAGUAAAUCCAUUCAAUGCCUCAAGGAAAAGAGAUUAAAUGUGAGGGCCCCCAGAGAAACCUUAUAAACAAGGUGUGCACAGUUUAUUUAUGUGAGGGAGUCUUUAGGUUAAGAAAGCAAAGGAAUGUAAGGAUUCUGAGAACUCUGUCUUAAAAAAAAAAAAAAGAAUAAGAAUAAAAUUAGGGACAUAGAACUGAGAAGAAUCAGAAUAUGAAAGACCUGUUUAGGAAA